rnacentral:rRNA from 1 species
UCCCUAUGGGGUGCAGCAGGCGCGAAAACUUUACAAUGCUGGAAACAGCGAUAAGGGGACCUCGAGUGCCAGGUUACAAAUCUGGCUGUCGUGAUGCCUAAAAAGCAUUGCAUAGCAAGGGCCGGGCAAGACCGGUGCCAGCCGCCGCGGUAACACCGGCGGCUCGAGUGGUAACCGUUAUUAUUGGGUCUAAAGGGUCUGUAGCCGGCCGGAUAAGUCUCUUGGGAAAUCCAGCAGCUCAACUGUUGGGCUUUCAGGAGAUACUGUCUGGCUCGAGGCCGGGAGAGGUGAGAGGUACUUCAGGGGUAGGGGUGAAAUCUUGUAAUCCUUGAAGGACCACCAGUGGCGAAGGCGUCUCACCAGAACGGACCUGACGGCAAGGGACGAAAGCUAGGGGCACGAACCGGAUUAGAUACCCGGGUAGUCCUAGCCGUAAACGAUACUCGCUAGGUGUCGGCCACGGUGCGACCGUUGUCGGUGCCGUAGGGAAGCCGUGAAGCGAGCCACCUGGGAAGUACGGCCGCAAGGCUGAAACUUAAAGGAAUUGGCGGGGGAGCACCACAACGGGUGGAGCUUGCGGUUUAAUUGGAUUCAACGCCGGAAAUCUUACCGGGACCGACAGCAAUAUGAAGGCCAGGCUGAAGACUUUGCCGGAUUAGCUGAGAAGUGGUGCAUGGCCA